UAAGACAGAGGCCACAAGCGUUAGGCGGAAUCACUGGGCUUAAAGCGCGUGUAGGCGGAUAUCUAAGUGCCUUGUGAAAUCCCACGGCUUAACCGUGGAACUGCUGGGCAUACUGGAUGUCUUGAGGUGUCUAGGGGUCGCUGGAACAAACGGUGGAGCGGUGAAAUGCGUAGAUAUCGUUUGGAACGCCAAAGGUGAAAACAGGCGACUGGAGACAAUCUGACGCUGAGACGCGAAAGCCAGGGGAGCAAACGGGAUUAGAUACCCCGGUAGUCCUGGCCCUAAACGAUGUCCACUAGAUCGCGGUGCUUUGACGGCUUCGCGGUCGGAGCAAAAGUGUUAAGUGGACCGCCUGGGAAGUACGGUCGCAAGGCUA
rnacentral:rRNA from 1 species